AAAGGGAUGGGAUGAGAAGCACUGGUGAUGGAUGCAUCCAAAGCAGUGGGACUGGCGAGGGAGGAGAGUCCGGCCCUCUGCUCCGCUCUGAGGGAGCAGUGCCUGUGGCAGAGAUGUUCUGUGCGUCCAAAGCAGUGGGACUGGCGAGGGAGGAGAUUCCGGCCUUCUGCUCCGCUUUGAGGGAGCAGUGCCUGUGGCAGAGAUGUUCUGUGCGUCCAAAGCAGUGGGACUGGCGAGGGAGGAGAUUCCGGCCCUCUACUCCGCUUUGAUGCCUAAAGCUUCCUUGAACACCGGGCAACUGAAGUUGUUUCAAGAAACAGAAGUCUCAUCAUACCUGCAUUUAAAUCAUUUCCACUCACAGAUCUGCAUUGUCUUUUAUUUUCUCACCCAAAGAACCCACACUCACACAUUUAAUAAACUAU